rnacentral:rRNA from 1 species
UGCGGUGACGAUAGCGUUGAGGAUCCACCUGUUCCCAUUCCGAACACAGAAGUUAAGCUCGAUUGCGCUGAAAGUACUUGGUUGGACACGACCUGGGAGGAUAGGGAGUUGCCGCAU